UACGUAGGGUGCGAGCGUUAAUCGGAAUUACUGGGCGUAAAGCGUGCGCAGGCGGUUUUGUAAGCCAGAUGUGAAAUCCCCGGGCUUAACCUGGGAAUGGCAUUUGGGACUGCAAGGCUGGAGUUUGGCAGAGGAGACUGGAAUUCCCGGUGUAGCAGUGAAAUGCGUAGAUAUCGGGAGGAACACCAGUGGCGAAGGCGACUACCUGGCCUGUUCUUGACGCUGAGGCGCGAAAGCUAGGGGAGCAAACGGG
rnacentral:rRNA from 1 species